rnacentral:rRNA from 1 species
UACGUAGGGUGCGAGCGUUAAUCGGAAUUACUGGGCGUAAAGCGUGCGCAGGCGGUUCGUUGUGUCGGCGGUGAAAGCCCCGGGCUCAACCUGGGAAUGGCCGUUGAAACUGGCGAACUGGAGUGUGGCAGAAGGGGGUGGAAUUCCGCGUGUAGCAGUGAAAUGCGCAGAGAUGCGGAGGAACACCGAUGGCGAAGGCAGCCCCCUGGGCUGACACUGACGCUCAGGCACGAAAGCGUGGGGAGCAAACAGG